rnacentral:rRNA from 1 species
GUUGUCUUCGCCAAGACGUCCCACGAGGCAUGGACUAUUCUUGAGCGCUCGUUUGCGGCACAGUCGCAGGCUCGUGUAUCUGGGCUCCGUCGCCAACUUGGGGAGUGUCAGAAGCUUGACUCCACCGCCACUGAGUUCUACAACAAAGUCAAGAGUCUCGCCGACACGCUGGCCUCCAUUGGACAGCCCCUCACCGACUCCGAGUUCAACUCGUUUAUUGUCAAUGGUCUUGAUGAGGAGUAUGACGCCCUAGUCGAGAUCAUCAAUGAGAGGGGCAACUCCAUGCCCAUGCCAGCACACGAGGUCUUUUCACGCCUCCUGCUUACUGAGCAACGAGUCGAGACGCGCCGAUCCAGGGGCAACGACGCCCUCUCGGCAAACGCCGCCACCAAGGGUGGUCGCUCCUCUGCUUCAUCCAGGGCUCCUUCGGGGCAGUCACCACCACCCGCCUCGGCCCCUCCUCCUACUGCGACGCUACCAGGGGCUGGCGGUCCACGUGUGUGCCAGCUUUGUGGUCGCGAUGGGCACUAG